GGUGGGGUGUCCGAGUGGUUUAUGGAGCUGGUCUUGAAAACCAGUAUACAGGCAACUGUAUCGUGGGUUCGAAUCCCACCCCCACCGCCA
rnacentral:tRNA from 1 species